AUUGAACGCUGGCGGCAGGCUUAACACAUGCAAGUCGAGCGGGGGAAGGUAGCUUGCUACCGGACCUAGCGGCGGACGGGUGAGUAAUGCUUAGGAAUCUGCCUAUUAGUGGGGGACAACAUCUCGAAAGGGAUGCUAAUACCGCAUACGUCCUACGGGAGAAAGCAGGGGAUCUUCGGACCUUGCGCUAAUAGAUGAGCCUAAGUCGGAUUAGCUAGUUGGUGGGGUAAGGCCUACCAAGGCGACGAUCUGUAGCGGGUCUGAGAGGAUGAUCCGCCACACUGGGACUGAGACACGGCCCAGACUCCUACGGGAGGCAGCAGUGGGGAAUAUUGGACAAUGGGGGGAACCCUGAUCCAGCCAUGCCGCGUGUGUGAAGAAGGCCUAUGGUUGUAAAGCACUUUAAGUGAGGAGGUGGCUACUCUAGUUAAUACCUAGGGAUAGUGGACGUUACUCGCAGAAUAAGCACCGGCUAACUCUGUGCCAGCAGCCGCCGUAA
rnacentral:rRNA from 1 species